AUUUUGGAUUUCUGUGGAUUUUGGAAUAUUUGCAUUAUACUCUUGGUUGAGCAUUCAAAAUCCAGAAAUCUAAAAUGUUGCAAUGAGCAUUUCUUUUGAGCGUUAUGUUGGCAUCCAGAAAGCUUUGGAUUUUGGAGCAUUUAGGAUUUCAGAUUUUCAGAUUUGAUAUGCUCAACUUGUAUAGGCUGUAUGUUCUGUACCCUCUCUGUCUUGUGGGAGUCUUGUCUUCCAGGAGGGAAUUACUUCCCAUCUGGUCUCUCCAAAAUCUUCCCCUUGACUUCAGGCUUACUAACUUUGUGUUCCCAUUUCUGUCUCGUGUGGAGAUCUGCAUGGCACUAGACCCUUGGAGAUCUUUCCUCCCUCUGUUUUCUUUUACACAUCCUUGCCUUCCAGAUAUUAAGACUGGAGAUUCCAUGCCUUGAUGAAGAAGAUAGUUUUUUCUACUUAAUGUUUUCAACUACCAAUUCGAUCUCCCUGCUGUUUAUGUGGCCCUGGCGAUGGGGACUUUCCCUGGAGCCUCUCCAUUGCACAGGAUGCUGUUCAACACCAGGAGCAGCCCUUUCCAGAGCCUUUGGUCACAUGCCGGUGCUUCCCGUUGAGCUUCCCUCUUUCCCCAUUUGAAGAAUGCAGCCAGCUUCCAGUUCCUUUCAGGCUAGGGACCCAGAUAGAACUAAGUGAACAUUUUGAUGUUCCUUCCAAAUAAUCAGUUAGUUUUCUCUUUCUACACACAUACACACACGCACACACACAUUUAUAGCAUGCACUCUCAGCUUAGCAUAUUAUAAGCAUUUCCUCACACUAUUAAGAACUGUUCCCAAAUAAGAUUUGUUAUGAUUACCUAAUAUUUCAGUGUGUGAAUGAAUCAUAUCUUACUUUCUCACAGUAUAUCAUAUUUUAAAUAUUUACUAAUGCUACAGAGGAUAAUUUUUAAAAACCAGUGGAUGUCAGGACUGGUAAGGAAAUGCUUACUGCCAUAAGUUUAAUAUCAAAGUUUGUCUUACCUUGACCAACAUACCAGCUGCAAUGUUCUGAUCAUUUUUUUU